AUAGAACCCACAUUUCAGCAUACUGACACUGUGAACAUGAUGGUGAGCCUUUUUAUUGGCACUUGAGGGAUGCAGUCCUCUUCAGGCGUCCUUUUUGGGGCUGUCACUCUGGAGCUUGCAGUAGUGCAUCUUGAUCUCCUUGGUGUCGGCCAGGGCCUCGGCCACUGUCUGCAGCUCCGUGUGCUCGGCCCGGUCCCCACUCAGCAGCCGAUUUCCCCUGCUGAGGUGCAGGUGGCGAAAGUGGGCCAGGGCCAGGAAGGUGCCCAGGAUGAGAGCUGCCAGCACGCGGCUGCCCACAAAGGCCACACUCACCACCAGCAGCAUCUUCAUGGUCUGGCAGUGCCCUUCAAACCAGGGUAGCUCUUUCUUCCGCAUGCGCAGAGGACCCAGCGCCACCCAGUGGAGCUGCCCUUCAUGCAAAAAAGCUUGGGGAUGGUCAAGCGGACCAUGGAAGCAGUGGCAGGCCGAGGGCCGAGAGGGCUCAUCUAGGUUCUUCCAUGUGGCUGAGAUGCGGUCGAAGGAGCAUGUUUUCUUGCCAGGACUGAUUGGGUUCUUCUGGCUCCAGGCCGCAAGGAGACAGUGGAAGUGGAUCUCCUGGGCUUCACCGUCCAGCAAGAAAACGGGGGUCUGCAGGGUCAGCACAACGGCUGAGUCGUCUUUGCGGAACCAGGCCGCCUCUGAGUUGCUGGUGUAGAGGCACUUGUGGUUGUCUGCAAUGACGAAGGCCCUCUGGGACUGGCUCUGGUGCGGGGUGUCCAGCACAUAGCAUUGGUCCACAAAGAGUUUGGGGAAGAGCCCAGCUUCCACCUGGAGGGAGGCCUGGAUCCAGAUGGCGUGGCCUUGGGCAUAGGUGCCGGGUUCCACGGAGACACUGAGGUCCUCAUUGAGGACCUGGAGGAAGAAGUUCAGCUCUGGCUCCGUUUUGACUAUAUGGGCAGCGUAGACAUGGGCCUGGGUGGGAGACGUUGCUGCUGCCGGGGCAUCAGUUGGCACCACUUGGGUGGCAUUUGCGGAGUUGCUCCACACCAAAUCCUUGGCAGUGUGAAGCGUCCUCCGGAAGAAGCCCAUUUCCUCCUUGACAACUUCCACGGGAAGCAACAAGGCAUCUUCUUGGGCCAAAACCUGGACAACCAGGACGAAGGCCCAAAGGGCCACAAGGUCUUUCUAGCCACAAGCCAUUCCAAAGGAGGAGUAAGGGCUACACUGCCAGAUAAUCUGGGAUAAAUAGAUAAUCCAGGAUCAGAUCCUGGGAUAUAGGGCAGUGUAGAUCCAGCCUGUAUUUAGAUUUCUGUUCAGCUAUUUCUGACUAAAACAGGGGCACUUAAAAAGGCUAAAAUGUGACUGACAGCAUAUUAAAAAUUAUAUUUUAGCAUAUCCAUAAAUCAGAAUUUUAACAUUCACACUCUUUAAGUAGUCUUUGAUAGAGUCCCAGUUUGUUUGUUUUUUUGGCUUGCCAUAAUUAUUUGCUAGUAAAUAUGUUAGCCUAUCCAUAUUCAUAAUCUCUAGAAUGUUGGUGUACCACCUGCUGAUUUCCGGGGUGUCUUUAUUUUUCCAUAACUUAGCAUACACCAUUCUUGCGACUGUAAUCAAGUAAUUAAAUAGAGUUUCUUUAUUUUUAUCUACCUUGAUAUCUAGGUAUCCUAAUAAAUAAUACUUUGGGUCCAUUUUUAUAUUGACUUGUAGCAUUUUUUGAAUUUUUUUUGUAUCUUGGACCAAUAAACCUUUGCUUUUUUACAUGACCACCAGCAGUGGAAGAAAGUGCCAUCUUUGUCCCCACAUUUCCAACAUUUAUUGGAUACUUUUUAUAGUAUUUGGAUAGUUUUUGGGAAGUCAGGUAGAUUCUAUAGAAUAUUUUGAACCAGAUUUCUUUUAUAUCUGCAGCAUAGGUUAAUUUCAAUAUAUAAUUCCACGCUUUUUCCCAUUCAUCAAUUUUAUAGGUCUUCCUAUGUUACUUGCCCACUUUACCAUACAGUCUUUAAUAGUUUCCGUGUCUGUUGCCCAUUCCAAUAUCUUUUUAUAGAUAUUGGUUAGACCUUUCCUAUUCAUUUUCAUUAUUCUAUCCCAAAAUGUUUCUUUUUCUUCAAAUCCGGGUUUAUUGUCCUUAUUAUAUAUUUCUUUAAUUUGCAAGUAUUGAAACCAUCCCACUUUUUUAAAUCUUUGAUUAAUCUCUUCUAAACUUUUUAAAUUCAUAAUUGCUUAUAUUUUUUCCAACAACUCUCUAUAUUUUGGCAAAAUGUCACCUCCAAUUUCUCUCCAUGCAGUCAUGGCACAACUGAUUUCUAAAAUUCCUUGAAAAAUCUAACAAGACAUUGUGAUUGUUUCAAAAAAAAAAAUCUUAUAUGUGAAAUGUAACUCUCUCUAGGCAAGUCACAGCUGUAUAAAACAGCACCGGAAUCCAAAAAAGGAAGCAGAACUUUGCCUGUUCAACAAAGCUUUCUUGCUUAUUGCAUCUCCCUGCUUUGCUUGUCUGAAAAUCUGCUCUUGAGAGUGAGAAGAAUGGUAUACCAUGGGGGACUCCAGAGAGAGGUGUAGCCAGCAGAAUUAAAGGGCUUUUUGAAAUAA